UUUCAGCCAUUCCAUUUCAUUUCUGUCUCUCCGCUUUCCAGAACCAUCUGCGAUCUCUCAUCUAUGAUUUUGGAGAUCGCAGUCUCUCGUCUUUGCCGAAGAAUUCUUCAACGGAAAUCACUCAGAAACAGAACGGAGGUGAAGAAAGUAUCACUAACACCCAUACCAGAACAGAAAAAAAAACCUAACCAUCUACAUAUCAGCGACCGUCGACACCAGUCUGGCGAUAGACCGUUCUACAGAAGCAAGUCAAGCUCCUUGCUUUUAAGCUUUCCAGGCAACUCAACACUCAUGAAUUUCUCAGAGCAAAGUGGGGCUUGUACUGAUCUCCAAAUUGAAGAACCUGAAUUAAAAGCAAGGUCCUUUCUCUGAUUUUGCUCCAUGGAGCCGUAGGCGCAAGAGCUGCAAUUUAUUUUAUCCAUGUACCACAACAGCAGUAAUGUGGGCUACUUCAGGUCAAGCUCCUUGCUUUUAAGCUUUCCAGGCAACUUAGAACUCCUGAAUUCCUCAUAGCAAAGUGGGGCUUGUACCCAUCUCCAAAUUGAAGGACAUGAAGAUAAAGCAAGGUCCUUUCUCUGAUUUUGCUCCAUGGAGUUGUAAGCAGAAGUGACAAAAUUUAUUUUAUCCAUGUACCACAACAGCAGUAAUGUAAUAAUGUGGGCUACUUAUAUGUUAUAAUUAUUCCAUAAACUCUUUUACCAA